UGAUCAUGGCUCAGAUUGAACGCUGGCGGCAGGCUUAACACAUGCAAGUCGAGCGGAGAGAGGUAGCUUGCUACUGAUCUUAGCGGCGGACGGGUGAGUAAUACUUAGGAAUCUGGCUAUUAGUGGGGGACAACAUUUCGAAAGGGAUGCUAAUACCGCAUACGUCCUACGGGAGAAAGCAGGGGAUCUUCGGACCUUGCGCUAAUAGAUGAGCCUAAGUCGGAUUAGCUAGUUGGUGGGGUAAAGGCCUACCAAGGCGACGAUCUGUAGCGGGUCUGAGAGGAUGAUCCGCCACACUGGGACUGAGACACGGCCCAGACUCCUACGGGAGGCAGCAGUGGGGAAUAUUGGACAAUGGGGGGAACCCUGAUCCAGCCAUGCCGCGUGUGUGAAGAAGGCCUUAUGGUUGUAAAGCACUUUAAGCGAGGAGGAGGGUACUGGUAUUAAUACUACCAGGUACUGGACGUUACUCGCAGAAUAAGCACCGGCUAACUCUGUGCCAGCAGCCGCGGUAAUACAGAGGGUGCGAGCGUUAAUCGGAUUUACUGGGCGUAAAGCGUGCGUAGGCGGCUAAUUGAGUCGGAUGUGAAAUC
rnacentral:rRNA from 1 species